CCUCAGCACCCCCAAAUCCUCCUCCGGAGCCCCAAAUCCUCCUUGGGAGCCCCUCAGGACCCCUUGAACCCCAAACCCAAAUGGGAUUUCCAUUUCCAACGCAUUCACCCCAAACCCAAAUGGGGUUUCAAAUUCCAACGCAUUCACCCCAAAUCCAAAUGAGGUUUUGCCAUUCCAAUGCAUUCACCCCAAACCCAAAUGGGGUUUUCUCCUCUCAGAACAUUCACCCCAAACCCAAAUGGGGUUUUCUCCUCCCAACACAUUCACCCCAAACCCAAAUGGGGUUUUGCCAUUCCAAUGCAUUCACCCCAAACCCAAAUGGGGUUUUCUCCUCUCAGAACAUUCACCCCAAACCCAAAUGGGGUUUUUCUCCUCCCAACGUAUUCAUCCCAAACCCAAAUGGGGUUUUCUCCUCCCAAAACAUUCACCCCAAACCCAAAUGGGGUUCUCCUUUCCAACACAUUCACCCCAAACCCAAAUGGGGUUUUCCCUCCCGGCCCCAUUUGCCCCGCAGUGCCCUCAGUGCGCAUCCCGGACUGCUGUGUGCACAGAGGGCUCUUAAUGAGCCAAUAAUCCUUAAUGGGAUUGAAUUGCCUCUUUAUGAGCGCUAAUUACAGAGAUGCGGCAAUUAACGCCGUACAAUUAACGCAGCUCUGCUCACUGUAAGGGCUGAGCGGUGAUGUGACCCCAUGGCCACCGCUAUGGGCAGCGGACCCACACUGUGCUGACACUGACCCCGACCCUACAACCCUG
ensembl:lncRNA